UACGAAGGGGGCUAGCGUUGCUCGGAAUGACUGGGCGUAAAGGGCGCGUAGGCGGCUCAUACAGUCAGGCGUGAAAUUCCUGGGCUCAACCUGGGGACUGCGCUUGAGACGUGUGGGCUUGAGUGGGGAAGAGGGUCGUGGAAUUCCCAGUGUAGAGGUGAAAUUCGUAGAUAUCGGGAGGAACACCAGUGGCGAAGGCGGUUACCUGGAGCUUUGCUGACGCUGAGGCGCGAAAGCGUGGGGAGCGAUCCGG
rnacentral:rRNA from 1 species